CUCUCUCUCUCUCUCUCUCUCUCUCUCUCUCUCUCUCUCUCUCUCUCGGCAUGCCAUUCAGGUACAGUGCUGCCAAAGCAGGGUAAAUAGUACUGGAUUUUU